AUUGAACGCUGGCGGAAUGCUUUACACAUGCAAGUCGAACGGCAGCACGGACUUCGGUCUAGUGGCGAGUGGCGAACGGGUGAGUAAUGUAUCGGAACGUGCCCAGUCGUGGGGGAUAACGUAGUGAAAAUUACGCUAAUACCGCAUACGAUCUAUGGAUGAAAGUGGGGGAUCGCAAGACCUCGCGCGAUUGGAGCGGCCGAUAUCAGAUUGGGUAGUUGGUGGGGUAAAGGCCCACCAAGCCAACGAUCGUUAUCUGGUCUGGGAGGACGACCAGCCACACUGGAACUGGGACACGAUCCCGACGCCUACGUGAGGCAGCAGUGGGGAAUUUUGGACAAUGGGCGAAAGCCUGAUCCAGCCAUUCCGCGUGCAGGAUGAAGGCCCUCGGGUUGUAAACUGCUUUUGUACAGAACGAAAAGGUUUCUACUAAUACUAGGAGCUCAUGACGGUACUGUAAGAAUAAGCACCGGCUAACUACGUGCCAGCCGCCGUAACAC
rnacentral:rRNA from 1 species